GAUGAACGCUGGCGGCAUGCCUAAUACAUGCAAGUCGAACGAGAGGAAGGAAAGCUUGCUUUUCUGAAUCUAGUGGCGAACGGGUGAGUAACACGUAGGUAACCUGCCCAUGUGCCCGGGAUAACUUCUGGAAACGGAUGCUAAAACCGGAUAGGUAGCAGACAAGCAUUUGACUGCUAUUAAAGUGGCUAAGGCCAUGAACAUGGAUGGACCUGCGGUGCAUUAGCUAGUUGGUGAGGUAACGGCCCACCAAGGCGACGAUGCAUAGCCGGCCUGAGAGGGCGGACGGCCACAUUGGGACUGAGACACGGCCCAAACUCCUACGGGAGGCAGCAGUAGGGAAUUUUCGUCAAUGGGGGAACCCUGAACGAGCAAUGCCGCGUGAGUGAGGAAGGUCUUCGGAUCGUAAAGCUCUGUUGUAAGAGAAAAACGACAAUUCAUAGGGAAUGAUGAGUGAGUGAUGGUAUCUUACCAGAAAGUCACGGCUAACUACGUGCCAG
rnacentral:rRNA from 1 species